GACGAACCGAGCGAACGUUGUUCGGAAUCACUGGGCUUAAAGGGCGCGUAGGCGGGUGCUCAAGUCCGGGGUGAAAUCCCACAGCUCAACUGUGGAACUGCCUCGGAUACUGGGCGUCUCGAGGGUGGCAGGGGUAUGCGGAACUAUCGGUGGAGCGGUGAAAUGCGUUGAUAUCGAUAGGAACUCCGGUGGCGAAGGCGGCAUACUGGUCCACUUCUGACGCUGAGGCGCGAAAGCCAGGGGAG
rnacentral:rRNA from 1 species